GACGUAGGAGGCGAGCGUUGUCCGGAUUCAUUGGGCGUAAAGAGCGCGCAGGCGGCUUGGUAAGUCGGAUGUGAAAACCCGAGGCUCAACCUCGGGCGUGCAUCCGAUACUGCUCGGCUAGAGGUAGGUAGGGGAGAUCGGAAUUCCUGGUGUAGCGGUGAAAUGCGUAGAGAUCAGCAGGAACACCCGUGGCGAAGGCGGCCCCCUGGGCCGUACCUGACGCUGAGGCGCGAAGGCUAGGGGAGCGAACGGG
rnacentral:rRNA from 1 species